GUGUGUUUUACUUCUUCUAGUUAAUUCUCAAGCACUAAACUUAGUACUAUAGCACCAAUCUGGUACAGCACUAAUUCCAAUAUCUAUCAUGUCUUGUCAAUUCAGUGGCCUUUCACUAAAAAAAGAGAAGGGAUAUGAAGGCUGCCUUCGAUACCGUCGACCACAGUAUCCUCCUGGGGAGGCUCUCCGAGUUGGGAAUUGGUGGCUUGGCGCUUGCCUGGCUCUGUUCCUUCUUGGAGGACUGUCCGGGAGAGUGUCUCGGCCCCGUGGAGUCUCAAUUGCGGGGUUCCACAGGGGUUGAUUAUCUCCCCAAUGCUGUUUCACAUCUAUAUGAGACCACUGGGAUGUGUCAUCACGGGGUGUGGAGCGUUGUGUCAUCAGUAUGCGGAUGACACCCAGCUCCACAUCUCCUUUUCACCAACCGCAGGUGAUGCCGUCCUGACCCUCCAGUGCUGCCGGGGGACCGUACUGCAAUGGAUGCAGGAAAAUGGGCUGAGGCCAAACCCAGACAAGACGGAAGUUCUGAGGGUGGGAGCCCCGUGGCUGGCGGCCUGGGUGACUCACUCUCGUUUGGGGGGUGACCCUGACUGUGAAGAGUGGGGUCUGCAGUUUGGGUGUAUAUUUGGACCCGACGCUCACUAUGGAAACGCAGGUGGUGCCGGUAGUCAUUCCGCCUUUUUCCACCUUUGGUGGAUAGCCCGGCUGCGGCCCUACCUUGACACGGGGGCGCUCACCACCUUGGUGCAUGCACUCGUAAUCUCAAGAUUAGACCACUGUAACACGCUCUAUGUGGGGCUGCCUUUGAGGCUGAUGUGGAAACUUCAGGUGGUGCAGAAUGCAGCGGCCAGACUCCUUACUGGAGUGAGAAAACACCAGCAUAUCUCUCCUAUUCUGGCCAUGCUGCAUUGGCUGCCCAUCCAUUUCCACACUGACUUCAAAGUUUUAAUGCUUACUUAUAAGGCCCUAAACAGUUUAGGACCUCAAUACCUGGCGGAACACCUGCUCCCACCAAGAUCUACCCGGAUCACCUGCGCGAGCCAGGAGGUGAGGUUGAGGGUCCUGACAUCGAGGGAGGCCUGAAGAGAAAA
rnacentral:lncRNA from 1 species